UACGAAGGGGGCUAGCGUUGCUCGGAAUUACUGGGCGUAAAGGGCGCGUAGGCGGCACGGACAGUCAGGCGUGAAAUUCCUGGGCUCAACCUGGGGGCUGCGCUUGAUACGUCCGAGCUAGAGGAUGGAAGAGGCUCGUGGAAUUCCCAGUGUAGAGGUGAAAUUCGUAGAUAUUGGGAAGAACACCGGUGGCGAAGGCGGCGAGCUGGUCCAUUACUGACGCUGAGGCGCGACAGCGUGGGGAGCAAACAGG
rnacentral:rRNA from 1 species